rnacentral:rRNA from 1 species
GACGAACGCUGGCGGCGUGCUUAACACAUGCAAGUCGAACGGAAAGACCCGGCGUUUGCGCGGUGCUCGAUUGGCGAACGCGGGAGUAACACGUGAGUAACCUGCACUUGACUGUGGGAUAACUUCACGAAACUGGGGCGAAUACAGGAUAGGAGCUCCUGCAGCAUGGGGGGGGUUGGAAAGUUUCGGCGGUUGGGGAUGGACUAGCGGCUUAUCAGCUUGUUGGUGUAGUAGUGGAUUACCAAGGCUUCGACGGGUAGCCCGCCUGAGAGGGUGACCAGCGACAAUGGGACUGCGAGACGGACCAGUAUCCUAUGGGCGGCAGCAGUGGGGAACAUUGCGGAGUGGGCGGGCGCCUGAUGUAGAAACGUCGCGUGCGUGAUGACGGCCUUCGGGUUGUAAACCGCUUUCGACUGUGCCGUAGAGUGAGUGACGGUAAUGGGUCAGAAAGCCCCGGCUAACUACGUG